UUUAGACUAGAGGGGGAGCAAUGGAACAUAACAAUUUUAUGAUUACUCGCAUUUAAAGGAAAGAUUGUAGGAAAUACAUGUGAAUUUGGAAUCUCAUAUUGAGUAAUAAUAGGCAAGGAUAAUUAUCUCCCCCUACUUUCAGGUUCCCCUAUCUCCUCGCUAAUUAGCACAAUGAUCUGCCCCACAAUUUUAGGUUGACCUUAUUUGUGGCUCACGAGCCAUGGAGUUAGCUAUAUAUAUAAAUCUUGAAAAAUAAUCCAAAGCGAAGGGGGAUAAACAAAUUAAGCACUAGCAAAAGAAAACAUAGAGAUAGCGAGCCAGGCAUACCAAAAUGGCGAGAAAAAAUGUUGCAAUUUUGUUGAUGGUGUGCCUCGUAGUCAGCAGCAUUGUUGAGACGACGCAGGCGCGCCAGUUCACAUCAGAAGAGUGCUACACAUAUUGCUACGAAAGUUGCGUCUUCCUCUCCGCCAUUUGCAAUUGGAUGUGCAGAGGCCGCUGCAAAAACCCCAUCUUCUUCGGCGGUGAUGGUGAAGAGAACUUGUCUCCCCAGGUAGGAGUUGGGGCAUGAUUGAAUGCACUUAGCAUGGUGAAAUGCAAGGCUUUUCUCAUGAACUAGGACAUAACUUAGGAGUAUUAAUUAUGUUGUUUUCCUCCUUCCCUCUUGUCAUUUGUAACCAUAAUGAUUAAUUAUUCUUUCAUACCAUCAAUGAAUCAUUUUUUCCCUGGUUGCCGUUUA